UGAGGCCUGGAUCCCCAAUUCACCCCUCCAGGCUCGCCGGGGCGCACAGGGCCCCUCGCCCCUCCCCCGCCCGGCCCGGCCCGGCCUCGGGCUCAGCCCCACGGCGACCGAGCAUCCCCCGCUCCCCGCCGCCCUGCCCGGCCUGGGCCGAGGCCUCGCCACGGCCUGCCCGGCCCGGCCACUCUCCGCAGGCCUCGCGGUACCUGAGACUCCCGUCCUCGGCUUCCGCCGAGAGGGAGAGAGGGCGUCGCUUCGGCCCCGGGCCAGCCGCCCCUGGCUCGCCCUCGCCCCCGAGAGUCCGCCUGGGUGGGAGCGCCCGUCCGUCGCAUCGCUUUCCUCAGCUCCGUCCGUCCCCUCCCUGCCUCGCUCCUGCCGGGAAACGCCCGCCCCACCCCCAACUCCCGGUCUCCUCCCACGCCGGCGUCCACGGCCUUUUUUCUGUACCUUGUCGGAGUGGAAAUGGCGCCGCGCGGGGAACUAAGGUUCACGCUCAGGGGGUCUCGGGCAGACCAGCUGAGAGAAGGCGCACACACGCGGGGACGCAAGAUGGCAGCUAGAGGGAGGCCGGAAGUAACGCGACGCCACUUCCUCCAGAACUCAGGAAGCGGAGUUGGCGUCGCCGCGCAUGCGCAGCCGGGGGCCGGUCCGCGGCUGUUUCUUUCCUUUCGUCCAGCGGCGGGCCGGGAGCAGCACCGGAGAGCUGGGACCCGCGGUCGCCGUCCGCGGUCCUGGGAAAGGCCGCGGAUAGAUCGGACAGUGAGGCUCCCUGUAGAGCUGUGGUUAAAUCAGUCUGCCCUGUGGCCACCCCGUAGGGCGUCCAGCUUUGUCCAGUAGGCUGCAGUGUCUGCUCAAUGCCGGGUGUAAAUAAAAAACUAUCGAAAUC
ensembl:antisense Gm9828 predicted gene 9828